rnacentral:rRNA from 1 species
CUUGUGCCGCCAGCUAACGCACUAAGUAUCCCCGCCUGGGGAGUACGGCCGCAAGGUUGAAACUCCAAAUGAAUUGACGGGGACCCGCACAAGCCGGUGGAGCCAUGUGGAUUAAUUCCGAUACUAACCGAAGAACCUUACCCAGGUUUGACAUUGAAGGAAAGGCCGGGAAAUCGGCCCCUCCCCCACAAGGGGACCUGAAAACAGAUGUUGCAUGGCUGUCGUCAGCUCGUGCCGUGAGGUGUGCGGUUAAGUCCGUAAACGAGCGCAACCCUCGUCCUAUGUUGCCAGCGGGAAAGCCGGGAACUCAUAGGAGACCGCCGGUGUAAGCCGGAGGAAGGUGGGGAUGAUGUCAAGUCAGCAUGGCUCUUACGCCUGGGGCUUCCACACAUGCUACAAUGGACGCAACAAAGGGCAGCAAUACCGCGA